rnacentral:rRNA from 1 species
AGAGUUUGAUCAUGGCUCAGGAUGAACGCUAGCGGCAGGCCUAACACAUGCAAGUCGAGGGGUAACGAUGGUUUCGGCCAGGCGACGACCGGCGCACGGGUGCGUAACGCGUAUGCAACCUACCUUUAACUGGAAGAUAGCCCCGAGAAAUCGGGAUUAAUACUCCAUAAUAUUUUUUAGUGGCAUCACUUUAAAAUUAAAGCUCCGGCGGUUAAAGAUGGGCAUGCGUGACAUUAGUUAGUUGGUGAGGUAACGGCUCACCAAGACUACGAUGUCUAGGGGUUCUGAGAGGAUUAACCCCCACACUGGUACUGAGACACGGACCAGACUCCUACGGGAGGCAGCAGUGAGGAAUAUUGGGCAAUGGACGCAAGUCUGACCCAGCCAUGCCGCGUGAAGGAUGAAGGCCUUAUGGGUUGUAAACUUCUUUUAUACGGGAAUAAACUUAGCUAUGUAUAGCUAACUGCAUGUACCGUACGAAUAAGCACCGGCUAACUCCGUGCCAGCAGCCGCGGUAAUACGGAGGGUGCAAGCGUUAUCCGGAUUUAUUGGGUUUAAAGGGUCCGCAGGCGGACUAAUAAGUCAGUGGUGAAAUCUCUCGGCUCAACCGAGAAACUGCCAUUGAUACUGUUAGUCUAGAGUGUAGUUGGCGUAGGCGGAAUGUAUCAUGUAGCGGUGAAAUGCUUAGAUAUGAUACAGA